AUAUAUAUAUAUAUAUACACACACACACACACUGUGUGUAUGUAUAUAUAUAUGUAUGUAUAUGUGUGUGU